rnacentral:rRNA from 1 species
GACGUAGGGCGCGAGCGUUGUCCGGAUUUAUUGGGCGUAAAGAGCUCGUAGGCGGCUUGUUGCGUCGACUGUGAAAACCUGCGGCUCAACCGUGUGGUCUGCAGUCGAUACGGGCAGGCUGGAGUUCGGUAGGGGAGACUGGAAUUCCUGGUGUAGCAGUGAAAUGCGCAGAUAUCAGGAGGAACACCGGUGGCGAAGGCGGGUCUCUGGGCCGAUACUGACGCUGAGGAGCGAAAGCGUGGGGAGCGAACAGG